CCCUUAGAUGUUCUGGGCCGCACGCGCGCUACACUGACGAUGGCAACGAGUUUUUCCUUCGCCGAAAGGUGUGGGUAAUCUUUUGAAACAUCGUCGUGCUGGGGAUAGAUCAUUGCAAUUUUUGAUCUUGAACGAGGAAUUCCUAGUAAGCGCGAGUCAUCAGCUCGCGUUGAUUACGUCCCUGCCCUUUGUACACACCGCCCGUCGCUACUACCGAUUGAAUGGUUUAGUGAGGACUCCUGAUUGGCGCCGCCGCCCCGGCAACGGAGCAGCGGACUACCGAAAAGUUGUUCAAACUUGAUCAUUUAGAGGAAGUAAAAGUCGUAACA
rnacentral:rRNA from 1 species